AUAUUUUAAUAUAAAUUAUAUUAUAUAUAAUUUCCAAUUAUAAAAUUAUUUAAAAACCAAAAAGAGGUAUA
rnacentral:tRNA from 1 species